UACGAAGGGGGCUAGCGUUGCUCGGAAUCACUGGGCGUAAAGCGCACGUAGGCGGAUUGCUAAGCCAGGGGUGAAAUCCUGGAGCUCAACUCCAGAACUGCCUUUGAUACUGGCGAUCUUGAGUCCGGGAGAGGUGAGUGGAACUGCGAGUGUAGAGGUGAAAUUCGUAGAUAUUCGCAAGAACACCAGUGGCGAAGGCGGCUCACUGGCCCGGUACUGACGCUGAGGUGCGAAAGCGUGGGGAGCAAACAGG
rnacentral:rRNA from 1 species